GAUGAACGCUGGCGGCGCGCCUAACACAUGCAAGUCGAACGAACAGACGAGCUUCUUCCUCCUCUUUCCUUAUCCUCGCAUGGCUGACUAACACGUGACACACCUACCUUCAGCCCUCGGCUAACUUCUAAGCCCCGGAACCAAUACCGAAUAACCUAUUGGACCGCAUGGUUCAAUAGUUAAUGACAAAUUUGUUUUUACUUAUUGAUGAUUCGCCGCCGCCCUAUCUAGUUGGUAAUGUAACGGCUUACCAAGGCAACGAUGGCUAGCCGGCGUGGGAGGGUGAUCGGCCACAGUGGAACUGAGACACGGUCCAGACUCCUACGGGAGGCAGCAGUAGGGAAUAUUGCGCAAUGGGCGUAAGCCUGACGGAGCAACGGCGAGUGAGUGAUGAAGGUCUUCGGAUUGUAGAAGUCUGUUAUUAGGGAAGAAGAGAUGUGUAAGUAACUAUGAGCGUGUUGACGGUAGUUAAAGAGAAAGCAACGGCUAACUACGUG
rnacentral:rRNA from 1 species